AAAUGGAUUUCAAGUUUUGGAAAUAAUUCAUUUUGUAAUGACUUUCAAUUUUCUAUAUUUUCAAGGUUUCAUAGAUCUGUUCGAUCUACACUAUUUUUGAAGCUUCAAAUUUAAUAAUUAAAAAUAAAAAUAAAUUUAAAAAUUAUCACAAAAACUUUUAGUAAUGAAAUUACAUUCAUCGAUACUAUUUGAAAGUUUGCAUUACUUUUAAUUUUUAGAAACUCGAUCUUACACAAACUGCACCCAUAACAUUUUCCCCUAUAAAAUUUAGCUUGGACAUGACUUUUAGGUAAAUGGGAUUUGUACCAGUCUCAUGACCUGGCCCAGCACCCAAGCCGUUCAUCUUUAAAUAUUUUUUUGGGUAAUUCAGGGAAGAUAAGCCCUACCCCAUUUUUCACGUAAAUUAGGAGCUAGCUAGGGGUGGUCUCCCCAUUUUUCACGUAAAUUAGGAGCUAGCUAAGGGUGGUCUUUGGGCGUAGGGUGCUACCACCGGUCCUUUCACAUUCUGUCUGAAAUCCUGGCGUGCAACCAUGCUCCGUCCCUCGAUUUCUUGCCUGCUGCGAUGGUUUAUUAGGCCUACAACUUUAAAUAAUUUUCUCAUUUCUAUGUAUAAGGUAAACUUAUGAAUUAUUGUAAACUCAAUGACGAAAGGUUGGAGAUCAACCAUUAAUUUAGGUUUAUUUAACUUUCUCAAUUAAUAGAGAAAGUGCCAAUAGACGCAUAUUUGGUAAGAGACGAAUUUGUGGUCUCGCACUAUUGGGAAAUGUGAUCUUGGCCUAUGUGGUGGUAAUCGAUUGAUAUAGCAUCAUAUAUAGGGUUUGAAUCACAACUUCAUCAUUGAAAACAAACGUUUUGUUGGCCUAGUAUUUAGUGGCAAUUAUUGUUCUUUCCUUUGAGAUUAAUUUAUGAGAUCUACUAAUUUUUUUUUGUUGGGUUUGUUGUGGAAAAAUGUAUUCUAAAAAUGAAUGAUGUGGUCCAAAAUUUUGAAUUAUUUAGAUGGACGAACACCAAUAAUUAGUCUCGACAUGCCGACCAAAAACCAUAGAAGUCCAAAGUUAGCAUUCAAUUGGAAUCUCAAUGCACUAAGUAUUAUUAUUUUACAAUUGUGUUUAGCAACAUUUUACAAUUCUUGGCAUGUUGCUAUGGUAUAUUUUGAUGGGGGAACACAUCCUCUCUAACUGUUAAAAAAAAAAUAUUUUGAUGCGGAUGGUAGCGUCCACAAGCACCCUUCGGUUGCAUUGGAAAUCUAGUCUCAUUUUCUUUUAUUUAAAAAUUAUCUUAAUCCAAAACUCCAAGUGUAAAUACAUUAUGGUACAGCAAACCAAAUAAAAAUAACAAAAAAUAUUCCACCAGACGAAUUUAUUUGGGUACUCUAGUCAUUGUGUUUCUGAAGAUAUUAGUUAAUUAUUUUUAUUUGGUGUACUAUAGUAAAAUACAUUUGUAACUUAAAUUUUAGAUAAAGAUAAUUUUUUUAAAAAAUAAAAAUAAAAUAUUUUAUGGCCAUUGUAUAUACCCUUGUUCAAACUCAACCAAUGGAAGGAUGCUUGCGUACCCUUCCAUCUAUAUAACACACCAAAUAAAAAUAAUAUAACAUAUUCUAAACAUGUCCAACACCAAAUAAAAAUAAUAUAACAUAUUCUAAAUAUGUCCAACACCAAAUAAAAAUAAUAAAGAAUAUUCUAAACAUGUCCGAAAGAUUUCUUUUGGGGGUACUCUGGUUAUUGUCUUGCUCAAAAUGUUAUUAAAUUAUUUUUAUUUGGUGUGUUGUAUUAAAAUACAUUUGCAACUCAAAUGUUAGAUAAAAUAGUUUUAAAUAAAAAAUAAAAAUAAAUUUAUUUUAUGGCCGUUGGAUAUAGCCUUGUUCAAACUAUAGUUACCGGGGAUCGUCCAACUAGGGUGGCGCUCUCCCUCCGGAAUCCAGUUCCGGCACUCCGUGGCCGGGAUCUCAACCGGAACCGUUCUAACAUAACAUUUUGAUCAUCUCGACAUCAAAAUGUCAGGACAUGAGAAAAAAAGACAUUUCAAGUUUUGGAAAUGUACGUAUUUUUUGACUGUCAAUUUCAAUAUUUUCAAGUUCUCAUAGAUCUGCUCGAUCUACAAUAUUUUUAAAACUUUAAAUUUUAUAAUUAAAAGUGAAAAUAUAUUUUAAAAUUAUCACAAGGAUUUUCAGUAUUAAAACUAUAUUUUUCGACACUAUUUGCCGGUGCGCUUUAUUUUGAUCGUUUAGAGCCCAGCGGUUUCAAUAUCACUGACUUAUCUGCAUUGUUUAGAGCCCAGCGGUUUCAAUAUCACCGACUUAUCUGCAUUGUUUAGAGCCCAGCGGUUUCAAUAUCACUGACUUAUCUGCCUCGAGAAAAGAAAAUGCGGUUGUUGGCCUACACCACAGUGGCAUCUGUUGCUUUUUAUUGUAAGGUUAAUUUAUGAGACUUAGUACUUUUCUGUUUUCUUAUCUACUGCUUUUUAUUAUUCUACCAAAAAAAAAUGAAUGAUGGGGUCCAAAAUUUUCCAUUAUUGAGAGGUAGGAGCACCAAUAAUUCGUCUUGCCAUGCACCAAAGAACAAGAAAACAAUAAUUCAUCUUGCCAUACACCACAACAGAAGACAGGACCCAUCAUCAUCGUCUCGGUUAAGAUAGACCCAUCAUGACCGCUAAAAGGCCCCAACUUUCUCGAGCUCCCCAUCGCAGAGUAUUUAGCAUUGAGCGGUGAUCGGCCAUCAUGGUUUCUGCAGUCACAUAGAUCAUAAGGUUUGAUAAAUGUUCAAUUGCUUGGCUCGGACUCGGGGCACGGGCUGGAGCAAAGUGACUUGAAAGAGUUCCAUGUACGAGACCAAAAUGGCUUAAAAUUGGGAAAAAGAGGAACUAGUUCACUUUUGCCUUGCUAAAAAGAUUGAAAAAUAAAAGAAAACUGAGCGUGAUUGAUUUUGUCAGAUGAAUAAACCAUAUACUUGUUUAGAAUGUACAUCUUACUUGAGAAAAGACAAACGCACAAGCAUCUUAUUUACACAAUUUAAUAUGUUGGAUGUUUGCUACUUAAAAUAUCAUGUCCAUUCAUGGAGAUGAAAACUUUAAAUUUAUCAAUCAUGUGAUCAAAGUAUUAUGCUUUUGUUUACUGUUAUAAUUAAGAGAACUCCACAACUAUAAUCUAAUAGGGUGUGGUUUGUAUAAUGCUGAAGCCCUAAACAGUCAAAGUAAUGCGCAACUUCAAAUAAUAUAGAAAGAUGUUAUUUCAAUACUAGAAAUAUCUGAUAUGGUCUAAAAAUUUAUUUUUAUCUCUAAUUAUUAAGUUUAAAGCUUCAAAAUUAGUUUAGAACGAGCAGAUCUACAAACACUAAACAAAUCUUAAAAUUUGACGGUUCAAAAACUGCAUUACAUGACACACUAUUUUUAAGACUUGAAAUCUAUUUUGUUUCUCAUAUCCAUAUAUUUUGAGGUCGAGAUGAUCGAGUUGAGGAUUUUUUGGCAUCGAAACAACUUCUUCUAAUGAAAUUUUGUGAUGCACCUUAAUUUGAUUAUUUAUGGCCUCACACUUUAUAUAAUCGUUUUCCAUUCUCAUAUCUUCUUGAGGGAAAAAAGUUCAUACAAGUUAGUAAACUUAUACUGUUAAAGUAAGGUGCAUCAUACGAAUCAUCUAGAAGAGAUUGGAGAAGCUUUCAAUUGAUCAUUUCGACCUCGAGAUAUGUAGAUAUUAAGAAAAAGAGAAUUUUAGUAUAAAAAAUAGUGCAUCUUGUAAGAAGCUAUCUAGACCAUCGAUUUUAGAGAUUUUCAAGUGUUCAUAGAUUUGCUCGAUCAAGUCUAUUGUUAUAAUUUUAAAUUUCAUAACUAGAAUAUCAUGUUUUUCAGGUAACCUCCCCUAUUGUGAAUUUGCGUUACCUUCAUAAUUGAUGUAUCGAGUUAAACAAUAUACUAUCAAUCCAAUAUAUUUAGGUCACCCCCUAAAAUGAACGUUGUAAACAUUGUAUCCCUAAUAUUUUUAGUAUCACACUCUAAACUCAAUCUUGCUUUUAGUCCCACUUAAAAAAUCAUUUAAAGACUAAAUACCCUUCCCCUCUCUCUUUCUCUCUCACUGUCUACCUGCCCUUUCUCCUUCUCUCUCUAUCAGCCCCUCUCUAUCCGCUUGUCCUCUCUCCCACUAUCCACCCUCUCUCUCUCUCUUUCUCUCUUUCUCCAAAAGGCUACUAUCAGUUCGACACAUUUUUGUGCCAGACCGAAUUUUUUUUUUUGCGGUCUAGCACAAAAAUGUGCUGAACCCGGUCAUAGGCUUAUGGAAAUUGAAAAGCACCAUAUGACGGUCCAGCAUAGUUUUACGUCGAACUGAAAAAAAUUUCGGUUCGGUACAAAACUGUGUCGGACAAUCCUAUGGGGCUACUAGAUUUCCAGGAGUUUGUGACCAAUCAGGCUCAAAAGUGAGCAAGACCGUCAUAUGCCAGUUUUUAAGCUAAGUCCAAAGAAAGAGAGAGAGAGGGUGGGUAGAGAGAGAGAGGGGCAUGGUAAAUAGAGUACGGGUAGAGAGAGAGGGGAAUGGUCGUUUAGCUUUUAAAUGAUUUACGUUUUGAUUAAGGGGUAAAAUCAAGAAACAAAUGUAUUUGGGUUUAGAGUGUAAUAUCAAAUAUUGAGAGAUAGAAUGGCUACCAAAUUCAUUUUGAGAGUACCAACAAUUUUCCUUUUAAAAAAUCCCAUUAUUAUUUUAUGAAUUCUUAAAGUAUAUAGAUGUGAUAUAGUACACCAAUGUUUGAGAGAGAGGUGGGCUCCAAAUAUGCUAGUCCUAAACAUUGUCCUGUGCGCGGUAGAGAGAGAGAGAGAGAGAGAGAGAUGAGAGUUGCUUCUUUAAAAAGAUUGUCAUAUUAAACAUGACAUGACGCAGCACAGAGAGAAAGAGAGAGAGAGAUUACAUUGCGAUUCAAAUAUAUUAAUCUACACCAUAUAUGGUAAUUUCAUAUUGGUCUUCAAAUAUAAGACAUUUUUACAGAGGUCUUGCACGCAGUUUUAUUUUUGUUUUAACUUUGCGCCAAAUUUUUGCAGAGGUCAUAUUUUUUAACUUUGCCUCAAAUUUUUGCAGAGGUCUUGCACCCUGUUUUAUUUAUUUUUUAAUUUUGCCUCAAGUUCGAUAUUUCAAAUAUCAGAUUAUUUUUUAUUUUUAUUUUUUAUUUUUUGAUAUUUAUAGUAAAACAUAUCGAAUAGCCACAUUUCUAGUGUGGUUUGAUAUUGGAAAUAUCGAGCUGCCCUACAUUUCAAGUCAUUCCCGUGUCUGUAGCUAUACGAUGUUAGAAACAUUGGACCACUCUGCAUUUUAGUGUAAUUUCUUUUGUUCAGUGGUAUAAUAUUUAAAACAUCAGAUUGAAUCAUAUUUGAACAAAGUUUACGUUUAUUCAAAAUAAUUUUGAGAACAAAAAAAAGUAUGAUGUUUCAAACAUUGAACUAAUAUAUGAUAUUAUUUCGAUACUUUGAACAUGAAACCCUUUUACCUAAAUUGGGGCUUAAAAGCCCCAAUCCCACCUGCAUUCUCAUUUGCACUCAGCUCUUUCUCUCCCUACUCGCACCCUCUUUUUCUCUCUACUCUCUUGCACCUCUACUCGCACCCUCUUUUUCUCUCUACUCUCUUGCACCCUCUCUCUCUCUAUAAGCCUUCUAUUUUGAUUUUUCCUCUAGUUUUCGUUGUGGAUUUCCUUUUACUAGUCGAAAGCUUAGGCGCUAGGGUUUUAGUAGCCUUCACUUCAUCGCUCAAGAAUUAAAGUUAGGAGUUUUUUUAUAAGAGUAUAGACCAAUGUUGUCAUAUCUGCUUCAAAGUCUUUUACGAUUUGAUGAGAAAAAUGAAGCAAUUCGGUGUUUCGGCUAAUUUAUGGAAAGACUUGAGAUUUUUUUUUUAAUUUAAUAUAAAUAAAUUAUAUAUUUAUAUAUAAUAUACAAAAUUAAUAGAAAAUUUUUGAAUAAAAAAAUAAAAAAUAAAAAAUAAAAAAUAUUUUUAUAUAGUUGUUUUGUUUUAUGACCGAAGCAGCCCGAAGCAUCAGCCGAAACAAACCCGAAGAGACCCGAAUAUGACCGAAGCAGCCCCGAAUCGUAUUGUACAUGAAAGCUCUAAAUCGAUGAGUUGAUUUUUGGCAAAUAAAGGAGAAAUAAAACAUGAUUAUCGGUGGGAAUGAAUUACACCAAUCCAGAUCAAGAGAAAGAAAACCUGAAAUACACACCACAAGAACACAAAGAUUUAAGUGGUUCACCUAAGAUGGCUAUAUCCACCGCACGAUAAACAUAAAUCAUUAUACCAAUGAAAAUUACAUCAAAGAUUUUAGAACAAAGCUCAACAAAAUAUCUAAAUCGAGCAAACUCAUUUAAACCACUCUCCCUUCCUUUUUUUUACUUCUGACAACUAUUACCGACAACACCAGAUAGAGACGCGAGAGUAACGAGAAACUGACUUUCUUUCUAACGAAAGGGGAAAACACCCAAAAUCUCAAUGGGAACCGCUUCUCUAUAAGUAAUAAACAAGCCUUUCAAUCUUCGAGAGUAUAAAAGAGGCAUCAUCACAAUGUUUCUCUCCAAAUGAAGCUUUAUUCUCUCUAAGAGGAAAUCUCCAAAUGAAGUUUUAUUUUCUCUAAGAGGAAAUUGAAUCUUAUUUACAGGAGACUCUAGCUCCCUUUAUCUCAAGAUGAACCAUUAUUCCCAUAUGGUAACCAAAAUAGGGCACUCAAAUUCUCUACACUUUCAUCCCAUAUAUAAGAUUAGGAUUCCAUACUAAAUAGGAAACUUCCUAUAGUUCUUACGUACAUCUCAAAACCAGGAGAUAGAUUUAAGAGUCCAAAUCUUUUUGGAUUUCUAUUUUUUUUAGAAAACUUAUCAAUAUAAACUCAUUUCCAAAAAAUAUGAGAAUAUAUCAAUCCCACAUAAUAUGGGAAUAUCUCAAUCCCACAUAAUAUAGAUCAAUCUCAAUCAAUCAUACAAAAUAUGAGAUUUCUUAAUGUGGGUGAUUUUAGAUAGCACCAAAUCUAAUCUGACCGAAACAGAAGCACCACAUUUUUCUUCGCUUCGGUUUAUGCUUAAAAACUGAAGGCUUCGGCCUAUUCAGUCGAAGAGAAAAGAAUUUGAAUACAUUGGUAUAGAUGGUAAAAUUUCAUAACACGUCAAUGUUAUUUGUUUCGAUAUCUUUUUUGUUAUUUUUUUUAAUUUAAUCUUAGAUGCAAAAGAGUUGUCCAAAUAUAAAUUUCUUUUCAUUUUUUCAAUAUAUUACUUCCAAUUUUUUGUUCAAAUUCCCUAACCCUUAACUUUGGGUGAAGGGCUAUAUUGUCGAUGUCCUGGUCAAAUUUUUUUUGGAGCACAAAAAUAUCGAUAAUCAAGCUUUUUUUUUAAGUAACUCAGUGGGAAAGACAGGCCCCUACAAGUGGGAACGGUGUUGGGGCCGUGGUGGUAGCAACACAUACGCUAGUCACUACGUUGUGGUUUUCAUUCCUACCACUAUACCACCCUACUAACACAUUCAAAAAGCUAACUCUUAAUCUACUUGAUAAUUAAUUUUUUUAGGAAAAAAAAAGCGUAUUCAAUGCAAUACUUGCAUCCCCUGAACAGAUAAAAAAAAAUGGUGCUCCCAAAAAGGAUCAAAAUAGAUGGUUGAGAAUUAUUUUUUAAAAAAGUGAUUUUUUAAUUUUUAAAAUGUAACUAUUUCGUAUAUUCCCAAAUAUAGAAAACGGAGAGAGGAGGCACAUCUACAUAUAAGUUGACCAACUUAUAUAAAUUUUGUCCACUAGAAAAAUAAUAUGUCCCUUAUUUAUGAAUGUAGUUUCUACAAGGCCAAGGCUUUACGGAAGGAAAGUAAAGCCUUUCCUCAAAUCUUCUUCCGGAAAGAACUAUUUGGGUCCUAGAUUGGGUCAGAUCUAAGUCCAUUGCCACCCUUAGUUUUGAGGUGAGGCUCCACUUGUUUUGAAAGAGUUCACAUGUCCUACAUAACAUUGAAAAACGUCUAUAUAAGAGUGAGGCUCUAAACAUUCAAAUUAAGACACACCUCAAAAAUUUCACUAGUAGAUGUUGUUUUGAUGCCAAAUAUCCUCAAAUUGACCAUCUCGACCUCAAGAUGCAUGAAUAUAGGAAAAAAUGGAUUUCAAGUUUUUGAAAUAAUUCAUUUUGUAAUGACUUUCAAUUUUCUAUAUUUUCAAGGUUUCAUAGAUCUGUUCGAUCUACACUAUUUUUGAAGCUUCAAAUUUAAUAAUUAAAAAUAAAAGUAAAUUUAAAAGCUAUCACAAAAACUUUUAGUAACGAAAUUACAUUCAUCGAUACUAUUUGAAAGUUUGCAUUACUUUUAAUUUUUAGAAACUCGAUCUUACACAAACCGCA
rnacentral:lncRNA from 1 species